AGAGUUUGAUCAUGGCUCAGGACGAACGCUGGCGGUGUGCUUCACACAUGCAAGUCGAACGAGGUAGCAAUACCUAGUGGCGGACGGGUGAGUAACGCGUGGGAAUCUGCCUUUAGAUGGGGGAUAACGGGUCGAAAGACUCGCUAAUACCGCAUAUGACGAAAGUUGAAAGGAGUAAUCCGUCUAAAGAUGAGCCCGCGUCCGAUUAGCUAGUUGGUAGAGUAAAAGCCUACCAAGGCGACGAUCGGUAGCUGGUCUGAGAGGAUGAUCAGCCACAAUGGGACUGAGACACGGCCCAUACUCCUACGGGAGGCAGCAGUGGGGAAUUUUACGCAAUGGGCGAAAGCCUGACGUAGCGACACCGCGUGAGCGAAGAAGCCCCUUGGGGUGUAAAGCUCUGUCAGCUGGAACGAAAAAAAUGACGGUACCAGCAGAGGAAGCAUCGGCUAACUACGUGCCAGCAGCCGCGGUAAGACGUAGGAUGCAAGCGUUGUCCGGAUUUAUUGGGCGUAAAGAGUUCGUAGGUGGUUUGUUAAGUUUGGUGUUAAAGAUUGGGGCUCAACCCUGAAACUGCACUGAAUACUGGCAGACUCGAGUGUGGUAGAGGCUAGUGGAAUUCCCAGUGUAGCGGUGAAAUGCGUAGAUAUUGGGAAGAACACCGGUGGCGUAGGCGACUAGCUGGGCCAUAACUGACACUGAGGAACGAAAGCCAGGGGAGCGAAUGGGAUUAGAUACCCCGGUAGUCCAA
rnacentral:rRNA from 1 species